rnacentral:ncRNA from 2 species
UGUUUAGAUAGAGGUGCAAGAUUCAAAAGUAGCUAGCAGGAGGAGAACAAUUCCUAAGAAUGCAGGUGAAAGGGAAGCCUUGCCGAAGCAGUAAAUUGAUUGUUCCAAUUUAUAUGCUGGUGUUGCAUUUAAUAGAUGUAACAUUGUCAGAGUCAAUUUUAGAUUCUGGAGAGCUAUCUCAUAA